GUGAGGAAUUUUCCGAAAUGGGCGAAAGCCUGACGGAGCAAUGCCGCGUGAAGGAUGAAGGCCUAUGGGUUGUAAACUUCUUUUCUCAGAAAAGAAUUAUGACGGUAUCUGAGGAAUAAGCAUCGGCUAACUCUGUGCCAGCAGCCGCGGUAAGACAGAGGAUGCAAGCGUUAUCCGGAAUGAUUGGGCGUAAAGCGUCUGUAGGUUGUUUAAAAAGUAUUCUGUCAAAGAUUAGGGCUUAACCCUAGAUAGGCAGAAUAAACUUUUAAGCUAGAGUUUGGUAGAGGCAGAGGGAAUUCCCGGUGGAGCGGUGAAAUGCGUAGAUAUCGGGAGGAACACCAAAGGCGAAGGCACUCUGCUGGGCCAAUACUAACACUGAGAGACGAAAGCGAGGGGAGCAAAUGGGAUUAGAUACCCUAGUAGUCC
rnacentral:rRNA from 1 species